rnacentral:rRNA from 1 species
CCUACGGGGGGCAGCAGUGGGGGAUAUUGCACAAUGGGGGAAACCCUGAUGCAGCGACGCCACGUGUGGGAAGAGGUCUUCUGGAUUGUUAAACACCGUUCCCAGGGACGAAAAUGACGGUUCCUGGGGAGGAAGCCUCGGCUAACUACGUGCCAGCAGGCGCGGUAAUACGUAGGGAGCAAGCGUUGUCCGGAAUUACUGGGUGGAAAGGGAGCGUAGGCGGGGAUGCAAGUUGGGUGUUAAAAAUACCGGCUCAACCGAUAGUCGCACUCAAAACUGCAGCUCUUGAGUGAAGUAGAGGCAGGCGGAAUUCCUAGUGUAGCGGUGAAAUGCGUAGAUAUUAGGAGGAACACCAGUGGCGAAGGCGGCCUGCUGGGCUUUUACUGACGCUGAGGCUCGAAAGUGUGGGGAGCAAACAGGAUUAGAUACCCUAGUAGUC